UCAAACUUGGUCAUUUAGAGGAAGUAAAAGUCGUAACAAGGUUUCCGUAGGUGAACCUGCGGAAGGAUCAAUACGAAGAUUUUCGGCUUUCGAGUCGAAUUUUCAACCCUUGUCUAUCUAUCCUUUUGUUGCCUCGGCGAGCCGUUGUUUGAUUCUUUUUCUUGACGGAAAAUAGAAUCGACACCGUCGAAUCGUCACUGAUUUGACGUGUGCUUGCCGAAGGAAAGUUAUCAAAACUCUUUUAUAGAACCAGAUAAAUAUACUUCUGAAAUUGAUUAUUUUAAUAUAUCAAAAACUUUCAACAACGGAUCUCUUGGUUCUGGCAUCGAUGAAGAACGCAGC
rnacentral:misc_RNA from 1 species